rnacentral:rRNA from 1 species
AUACAGAGGGUGCAAGCGUUAAUCGGAAUUACUGGGCGUAAAGCGCGCGUAGGCGGUUUAUUAAGUCGGAUGUGAAAUCCCUGGGCUCAACCUGGGAACUGCAUACGAAACUGAUUGACUAGAGUAUGGUAGAGGGUGGUGGAAUUCCUAGUGUAGCGGUGAAAUGCGUAGAUAUUAGGAGGAACAUCAGUGGCGAAGGCGACCACCUGGACCAAUACUGACGCUGAGGUGCGAAAGCGUGGGGAGCAAACAGGAUUAGAUACCCUAGUAGUCC